rnacentral:rRNA from 1 species
AACCUCCGCAAUGUGAGAAAUCGCGACGGGGGGAUCCCAAGUGCCAUUCUUAACGGGAUGGCUUUUCAUUAGUGUAAAGAGCUUUUGGAAUAAGAGCUGGGCAAGACCGGUGCCAGCCGCCGCGGUAACACCGGCAGCUCUAGUGGUAGCAAUUUUUAUUGGGCCUAAAGCGUCCGUAGCCGGUUUAAUAAGUCUCUGGCGAAAUCCUGCAGCUUAACUGUGGGAAUUGCUGGAGAUACUAUUAGACUUGAGAUCGGGAGAGGUUAGAGGUACUCCCAGGGUAGAGGUGAAAUUCUGUAAUCCUGGGAGGACCGCCUGUUGCGAAGGCGUCUAACUGGAACGAUUCUGACGGUGAGGGACGAAAGUUAGGGGCGCGAACCGGAUUAGAUACCCGGGUAGUCCUAACUGUAAACGAUGCGGACUUGGUGUUGGGGUGGCUUUGAGCUGCUCCAGUGCCGAAGGGAAGCUGUUAAGUCCGCCGCCUGGGAAGUACGGUCGCAAGACUGAAACUUAAAGGAAUU